rnacentral:lncRNA from 1 species
GUUGAUAUUGAGCUAUUACUAUAUGAAAAAGAAUAAUUUGUCAAGGAAAUUGAUUAGAAAAGGCUAGAGGAUGAUUGUUUAAUAAAUAAUUUUUAAAGCACUUUUAUAGCACCUAUUUGCACCAUAUAGGUACUGUGAAAAUGUAUGUAGAUAGCUCCAACGUACUGAUUUUAAGCCUUUUUCCUCUGUUAAAGAGCCACUCCUUAACAACUCCAGCUGUGGAAUGCUUUGUUAAUCUACUAGGGUGUUUUAGACUCUUGAAACUACUUAAUUAGAUUGCAUUUGUUAAGAUUCAGCAUUCAGAUCCUUUUUCUAAUCUGUGCUCCUUUCUUCUUAUCAUCCAUCAUAUACCUCCUCAUUGUGAUUAUACUGUAAAAUACUUUUUAAAGCCUACUGAUCUAAAGAUACAGUCUUUUAAAUACUAAAAGGCUUUUGGACUUAAAAUCUGUUGGAAGCUUAAAUUGAAAAAAUAGCUGCCACUUUAGGUGCAUAAAGUACUUUCAUAAUUAUUUGAUACCUCUUGUUAGAUGGCAGUUUCACCUUCUUCUUUCCAGUUUCUUUUUUCUUUUCUUUAAUAUUUGGUAAUUGCAGAUUUGAUGGUUAAAUUCAUAGGUUUUCUUUACUUAGGCCAAACUGUCAUUUCUCAUUUGUACAGAAUUGGAUAUGUCCCUGUGCAGAAGGGUUAGCUCAUUCUUUUCAUCUUUAAGCUUUUAAAAUUACUUAGUCUAAAUGUUGUUAGGUAAUGGAAUAACCAUUCCUUUUCAGCUUUUGGUACAUUUCCAAACUGGCUGGCAGAGCCAGGAGGAAGUGAAGGCAUUAGAAACACUAACUUUGGUUGGUUGCUACCGUCUUAGUGCUGAGACUAUAACCUUUGUUGGUUGAUUGAUAGAGAACAAGAGAACACAAUCCUCGUUCCACUAACAGGUAAGGAACCCUUGUGAUAACUAGUUGGUAUGAGAGGGAGAUUACUUGAUAGCAUUUCAUAAAAACUUUAUCCCAAAAUAUAACAUGUCCUAGAAAUAGGAUACUGUGACUGACUGUACUCCGUAGAACAAGGAUACGCAGCACCUUUAUAUUUAGAAUAAGAUCUGAAAUUUAAUAGGGAUGUAUUACUCUGUACCACAAAGCAUAAUUGAUCUGUUUUCCAAAGGCAACACUGUUAAAAUUUAUCCUGCAGUCCCUGUAACUUUAAAUAUGUAUCUGCCUAUCUUAUUCUCCUUUCAGCUUUUCCUUGAUCAGAUGCUAUGUGCUUUGAACUUCCUUCUCUUAUUUAUUCCUAUAAUAAAGCUAACUAUUUUCUAGUAUCUUUGCCAUCAUCUAUAAUUUGGGUAUAUCUUACUGCUUUAAUUUCUAUGUUAUAGCCAUUAAUGAUUAUUCCUGGUUCUUCUUGACCCAAAAGAAAAUGAUUAUGCAUUUUAAAAAGGAUUUUGAGUCUGUAUUGCCUAUAUCCACUAUUCUGCCUUCCCAGUUUUAAAGCUGAGUGCUUGAAGAAUAAAUCUUUUCAGUGACAGUAGUCAUAAGCUUUCAUAAAAUAUAGGCUUAGCUUUGUAUUGCUAUAAUAUGGGCCUAUAGUGUGAUUAAUUCUUUAAGUUAAUGAAGACUUGAACUCAGAGAAGAAAUUCAGCUUCUUAGACUUUCCCAAAGUUUAGUAGUAUUCCUGUUAAUAUACUUGGUUUUUUCUGUUUCUACUUUUCAGUCCAUCUUCUUUUCUUUGACAGAAGAAUUAACUGGGACUCCUCCUUUGAUAUAUCUGAGGUUGUGUGCCUUUUCCCUGUCCCUUAAAGACAACUAUGAUCUUGUUUCCAGUCAUAAUUUAUCAUUUUUGAUUUGGUCUUCCACUCAGAGUUGAGUGGUUUAUCACAGAGUGUGUUAUGGCUUAGACCAAUACAGGUCCCUUCUUAAUAGUUACUGAGGAAUUAAUCAUUUGUGGUGACAGACUUCUAAAAUUCAAAUUAAGAAGGCACUAAAGAAAGUAUGCCCAAAGGUAGCUCCUUUUUAUCCUGAGGAUUAAGCCAUUACAAACUCAAAUGACCAGAGAAUGUAAUUUCUUAAUAAGAAUUUUUCCUUAAAUCUAUAUUCAGCUCUCUAUUUCAGUGCUUCUCUCCUACCAGAGGUGCAAGGAGUGAUCCUAGAACCACAGAUACAGCCAAGACCACGGAGAGCUUUUGACGUCAGGGGUCCACUUUCUCCACUGAACCCUUGGAGACAGAAUAUCCAGCUUCUGGAGAGAGUGGGAAAGGAUAAUAAACAAAUUUCUUUCAACUGGUAAAACAUCAUACUUCUUCAGCAAAAGGAAUUCUUCUAGCAGAGCCUUCAUGGAUGAUAUCUGUCACACAUGCCAGCACCUGCAGUUUGGAAGGCAGUGGUGAAUGGAUCCAUGCAAUAUGUCUAGAAGACACAAGGAUGAGCCAGCCACCUGAUCUUGUCAUUUAUAAACUUUUAAGAAUUACUCUGGUUUACUUUUGGUCUGAAAAUGGAAAGGCCCAAAUAAUGAAAUAAUCUUUUCAGAUUGGAAUUUUACAUGGCCAUGAAAAUAUUUCUUUCUAUUCAGAAGACUGAAAUAGAGGAAGCUUGAGAGACUCCUUUCUUUUAAAAGCGGCUCUCUGUAUCUGUUUCAUUUAAAACAUUUGUGGGAUUGAAAAUCACCUUAAUGAAGUAGGCAAACAUUUUUUUAAGUAGUAGAGGAAGUCCAGAAAACUUAAUGAAAUGGUUUUUUUUGUUGCCUGACACUGAAAGUAACUAGUAAAUAAAGGGUGAACUUCUUAAUUAUUCGAAAACUGCUUUUAAUAUUAGGAUAUACUCUUUUAGCUCAUCUUCGCUGGUCUUGAGGCUUAUUAUAAUUGUCAAAUCAACAAAGUUUCUAAUAGAGAAGUAGAAGAAAUAUCUUUUGAGAUGUAAGUAGCUUGGUCUGUCUUCUAAAGUAAUACAUACCUGUUAAACUUGAGGUAUUUUUUUCAUACUGAAGGCAUUCUAAAGUUUGGUACUGUCACAAAACAGUAGUUUACAGAGCAGAAGCACUUAGUAUUAGAAUAAGCCUGUAGGUGUGAAGGAAUAAGUGUUGCAAAAUAGUUAUUUAUCCAAGCUGUCAAUUAAUUGAUUGAAGUAGUUAUCAAAAUGUUUCUGUUUCUUUCUUUGGUAUCUAUUAACUGGUCAGUCAAAAGCUAUUAAAGAAUGUUUUUAAAGUCACCUAAUGCUGCCAGUUUGUUAAAUUUGGUAUACAUUUUAAGAAUAGACAUUCUAGAGUUAUUAAUAUGGAAGCAGCUAAAAUGUUUUAGGAAAUCUCAAAAGUUUUAGAAGCCACAUUUGCUAAAGCAUAACCUGCACUUAGUCUUUCUUGGCUAUCUGUAUUUUUUUCUCAUUAAUUAUAAAUAAAUUUUUGUUAAGUAUAGUAUUUAAAAGUAAGUUUAAAGGUUCAAUUUGAACUGAAAUUUCCCCAGAGAGCUUUGAAUUCCCAUAAGUGAUUACAGCUUUUACUCCCGACUUGUUUUUAGUAAAUGUUAAUAAGACAAUUGGUUUACAAACACAUAUAAAUUAAAAAAAACAACUGUCCAUCGUUUUAGGAAGAACUGAAGGAACUAAAAAUGAUAUUUGCUUGGAAAUUAAGUUAGUUGAACUCUUUGAACCACAGUAGAAACCGCUUUGUGUGGCCUGUGAGAUUAUAAGCUUUUUGUUUCAGCUUUGAAGAUGAAAAGUGAUUUAAUCUCUUAAUCUCAUGCUUUGAUUGAAUUUUAGCUCUGUUCCUUAAAAUAUGCAAAAGGAAAUGUAAGUGCAUUUCUAGUCACCUCAUGCCACUACAAGCUAUUUAUUUAAAAGUGAAACUUUUUGUAUAUUAUUGUGAACUGAUUUGUUUAUUUAAACUUUUAUUUUGGUGAAUUUACCUUUGAGUUUUUUUAUAUUUUAUGUCACAAAAUGAAGUCCUAUAUUUUUCAGUGUUUAUGAAUAUUAAUAUAAACUAUUUUUUUCUAGAAUGAC